GCGUACAGGCGUUAACUACAUGCGAAGUACGAGGGGAAACGAUGGAGGAGGCUUGCUCUCUUAGGCGUCGACCGGCGGUCACGGGUCGAGUAACGUACGUAUCAACCUGCCCAUUACUAGGGGAAGUAACCUUGUCGAAAGUAAGACUAAUGCCCACUGGUAUUCUCAGCAGACAUCUAAUGAGGAUUAAAGAUUUAUCGGUAAUGGAUGGGGAUGCGUCUGAUUAGCUUGUUGGCGGGGUAACGGGCCCACCAAGGCAACGAUCAGUAGGGGUUCUGAGAGGAAGGUCCCCCACAUUGGAACUGGGACACGGUCCAAACUCCUACGGGAGGCAGCAGUGAGGAAUAUUGGUCAAUGGGCGAGAGCCUGAACCAGCCAAGUAGCGUGCAGGAAGACGGCCCUAUGGGUUGUAAACUGCUUUUAUAGGGGAAUAAAGUGAUCUACGUGUAGUUUAUUGUAUGUACCCUAUGAAUAAGGACCGGCUAAUUCCGUG
rnacentral:rRNA from 1 species